rnacentral:rRNA from 1 species
UACGGAAGGUCCGGGCGUUAUCCGGAUUUAUUGGGUUUAAAGGGAGCGCAGGCUGAUUGGUAAGCGUGUUGUGAAAUGUACCGGCUCAACCGGUGAAUUGCAGCGUGAACUGCCGAUCUUGAGUUCACUCGAGGGAUGCGGAAUUCGUGGUGUAGCGGUGAAAUGCUUAGAUAUCACGAAGAACUCCGAUUGCGAAGGCAGCGUCCCAGCGUGUUACUGACGCUAAAGCUCGAAAGUGCGGGUAUCGAAC